rnacentral:tRNA from 1 species
GGGAUCUUAGCUCAGCUGGGAGAGCAUCUGCCUUACAAGCAGAGGGUCACAGGUUCGAGCCCAGUAGGUCCCA